UUGAUCCUGGCUCAGAAUCAACGCUGGCGGCGUGCCUAACACAUGCAAGUCGAACGAGAAAGUGGAGCAAUCCAUGAGUAGAGUGGCGUACGGGUGAGUUACACGUGACUAACCUUCCUUCGAGUGGGGAAUAACCUCGGGAAACCAGGUCUAAUACCGCAUAACAUCGUCGGGUGAAACUCCCGAUGAUCAAAGGGGUUAGACGCUUGAAGAGGGGGUCGCGGCUGAUUAGUUAGUUGGCGGGGUAAUUGCCCACCAAGACGAUGAUCAGUAUCCGGCCUGAGAGGGCGCACGGACACUCUGGAACUGAAACACGGUCCAGACUCCUACGGGAGGCAGCAGUGGGGAAUUUUGCGCAAUGGGGGAAACCCUGACGCAGCAACGCCGCGUGGAGGAUUAUGUCCCUUGGGAUGUAGACUCCUUUCGACAGGGAAGAAACUGACGGUACCUGUAGAAGAAGCCCCGGCUAACUUCGUGCCAGCAGCCGCGGUAAUAAGGU
rnacentral:rRNA from 1 species